CGCUGACACAGGAAGAGAAGAAUGCAGCUGUGCCAGAUACAGCUUAUAAAUUACAGCGCAUCCUCUGCACUCUGACAGAACCUGCGGUUGUUGACUGCCGCUCAGACCACAUCAUUCUCGAUCAUCAAAGACUCACCCGUCACAAAGAUCAGUAGCAACAGAAAUGUUCAGCAGCUGUUCAGACGGCCACCCCUCAGGGUAUGACCUCGGGCCCCAGCCGGGGGACCAGGGGCAUCAUGGUGGAGGUCAUGGCGAUAAAGACGAUCAUCAAAAGGAUGCAGGAGGGAAGAGACACAGCUCUGACCAUGACCGCAAGGACCAAGGCAGCCCUGACCGUGACCGAAGGGACCGAGGAAGCCCUGACCGUGACCGAAGGGACCGAGGGAGCCCUGACCGUGACCGAAGGGACCGAGGAAGCCCUGACCGUGACCGAAGGGACCGAGGGAGCCCUGACCGUGACCGAAGGGACCGAGGGAGCCCUGACCCUGACCGAAGGGACCGAGGGAGCCCUGACCGUGACCGAAGGGACCGAGGAAGCCCUGACCGUGACCGAAGGGACCGAGGAAGCCCUGACCGUGACCGAAGGGACCGCCGAAGCCCUGACCGUGACCGAUGUGGCAGCAGGGACCGCCGUAGCCCUGACCGUGACCGAAGGGACCGAGGCAGCCCUGACCGUGAUCAUCGGCGCCGUCGUGGGAGUGGUGGUGGAAGCCCUGGUCACGAUGGUGGCAGUGGCGGCAGUGAUAGCGGCACUGGCAGUGGCAGUGGCACCGGUAGUGAGGACGAUGGCCACCCGGGAAAACAUGGCCGCAAACACAGGCACAAACAUGGCCGCAAGCAUGGCCGUGGUCAUGGCAAAAAGCAUGGCCACGGUCAUGGCCAUGGUCACGGCUGCUAGAGGAGAGGUGAACCCAGGAACCACUUUAAUGACGAAAACUGGUGUGUCAACCUGUCUUCAGCUUUGAACUUCAGCCAAAGCAGCUGAGAAGACGCUGCAGGGAAAAUAACUACCAGAAAUGAAAUAAUUAACCCACUGCACUGCAUUGGCAAUGGUGCAGAAAGUACAAAGAAAAUGGUUAAAUGAAAUAAAAUACUCUGAAGACAAACUGAAAUGUUUCUCUCUUUUUUUAUUUCCACACUGAAUGCAGUGUUCUAUGUUUUUAGCAGCUUUACAAUUUA
ensembl:lncRNA